UUGCACCAGAUUUUCAGAUUUUUCUCCUCAACUUUGAACCCUCAUUUCUUGAGUUCUAGAGCUCCAAAUUGGGUGAUUCAAAAGGCAAAAUUGUGAGGUUUUUCGUGGAAAACGCAUUGGAGAGAUUGAAAACUGAUUUGGAGCAUUCGAUUCAGAGGCUAUCUUGCGUGGAAAUUUAAGGAGAACAUCGUGGAAGUUUCAGAAUCUGUUUUUGGCAUGUCGUUCGAGGACCGAGUACCAGCUACUGUCAUGAAUAGAUCGAGCUUGUUGCAGUCAGAUUCAGAGACUAGGGUGAUAACUUGGCGUUUUUGGAUCACUUCUGUCUCCUUCAGAAUGGAUGGCCCGUCUUUUGCCUUUUGAGACUAGCCAGUUGUUGUAUAUAUAUGUCUGGUCCACUUUCGGGACUUGUACUCAUCUUUUAUUUUAUAGCAGCUCUGUA